CCGUGCUCCACGGGGAAUUGCAAUCCCUUGACCCGAAGUUAAUGCGGGGUGCAGAGUCUGUUGUGAGGGUUCGGCAAAUAGUAUUGAUAAUUAAAUUGUUGUUGACGUUUAAGGACAGGAUGGCGUAAGCUGCCGAACCGUGUCAGGGUGGAAACACAGCAGCACUAAGGCAAUCCUUGCGGGUGUUUUGUUUUUAAAAAGAGAUAAUUUAAAAGGAUAUAUUAUUUGUCUGAUUCGAUAGACAGAAGGCACGG
rnacentral:SRP_RNA from 1 species